AUUGAACGCUGGCGGCAGGCUUAACACAUGCAAGUCGAACGAGUGGCGGACGGGUGAGUAAUGCUUGGGAAUCUAGCUUAUGGAGGGGGAUAACUACGGGAAACUGUAGCUAAUACCGCGUACCAUAGGAUGAGCCCAAGUGGGAUUAGGUAGUUGGUGAGGUAAAGGCUCACCAAGCCGACGAUCUCUAGCUGGUCUGAGAGGAUGACCCGCCAAACUGGGACUGAGGCAAGGGCCAGACUCCCUCGGGAGGGAGGAGGUGGGAAUAUUGCGCAAUGGGGGCAACCUGACGCAGCCAUGCCGCGUGAAUGAAGAAGGCCUUCGGGUUGUAAAGUUCUUUCGGUAGCGAGGCGUUAACUACAGAAGAAGCACCGGCUAACUCCGUGCCAGCAGCCGCGGUAAUUC
rnacentral:rRNA from 1 species